GAUUUAUUUGGUUUAAUCUGUACAUGGCCUCCCUAUCUCUAUGUAUGUGUGUGUCUCUAGUGUUUUACUUAUCUUCUACAGUUUGAAGUUGCGCAGUCGCAAGAAUUUGAAUUGAAGAAGGGAACGCCUGCUUAUUUAGAGCUACAACAGACUUUACUCUUGCUAUGAAGGACUUCCACACAAAGUUCACCAGGAGAAGGACCCUUCGGGCCAUCAGCGAAAGGCAGCGAGUGACCCUGGACGUCAUACAGAGGUGGGAGGUGCAGCACAUUGAAAUGCAAGGCACAACUCCUGUCACUGGUGUGCUCUACCUGGAUGGGAUGACAUCGCCUGUCAUUGAUAUUGCUGACCCUGCGUAGGUUCGAAAGCAGCUGCUGGACAUGACGGAGCAGAAAUGCCACGUGUACCUCGGUGGGAUCCAGACCAUGCACUACAGAACAUUCCAAGAAGAGAUGGGACUUCCAGGAAUGCUGGGCACUGUAGUAGGGGAUGUGAAACCCUUCUGUGGGAGG